rnacentral:lncRNA from 1 species
CAUUUGAUCCGUACAUAGUAAAACAUUGUGAAUACACUAAACGAAACAUUUUUGAUGGAACAACAAAUAAAACGGAUUCACUUUACAGAGGCGAUUUAUUGCAACGGCCUGCGUGGUGGGGACACGUGGCAGGAGCGGCGCAGGACACGUGGUGAGGGUGGCGCGCGGGGGGGGGGGGGGUGGGGGAGGUGGGGUUGCAGCAUCGGGCUCCUGAUUUGAGGCAUUUUCCUUGUAAUAUAGCAAACUUGGCAAGCACUGAAUAAAACACAUGCGAAUCUUAGGCAGGGAUGAUGUGUCCAAUGGAGGUACGUACUAAUAACCAGUCCUUGUCGUUGUAUAGGACCUGAGCUGCUGAAUGAAAGCGUCGAUGCACCUCUCGUGACACUCCGUGUCGGCCACCACCUCCCCCAUC